rnacentral:lncRNA from 1 species
UAUGGGAUUUAAGUCAUAUUUUAAGAUUUGUGAUGUUUUUAUAUUAUAUGUCAUAAGUAUAUGACAUUGGUUUAUUCUCAUAAAUUCUUAGACCAUGCCACGUAGGCAGAUGACGUGGCGCUGAAUUGGCAGGUCAAUAAAUAUCAUAAUAAUAUUCAAAAACGCCUGUUAAGACCUAUAUGGUUGACAUGCUUUAAUUGGACCGAGAAUAUUUUGGAGGCUUUUUGGGCCAAGCUUAUUUCGGGGAUUUUUUUUGGGGGAGCGGAUCCAUUUAACUGACAUGAAUUUAAUAUAUGACCCAUUAUAUUUAACCAUACCAUAUUUAAUUGGGUAUAGCCCAUUUGUGCAACCCACAAAAUUUUUACUUGCUCAGCCCACACAUAUCUUGACUUGAUCAGUCAACUCAUUUCAACCCAUAUAAGAAAGAUUACAGCCUAAUCAUCCAGCAACACAUAUACGCUCAGAUUGAUAUAGUACGUGUUUACAUUCAAUACAAAAUCAGCAUUCACGAAACUACUGGAAAUACAUGCUCAUAUAUGGAAAUGCAAGGAGCUUUACAUAAUUACAUUGCUCUGCCCUAAAGCAUGAACAAAACCUGCUAGAUGUUGAUGUCAACGUAUUUGAUGGGAGAUUGUACCGGUGCUUAGCACUAAAGAUUAGACAAAAAAUAAUAAGCCAGCAGUCCUCUUCAUCGGCUGCAUACGUACGGCUGCUGGGAGUGAAAUUAAAGAAAAAUACUGCUCAAGGCCUGAAAUCUCAAAUUGAAAUUAAUCGUCAAGCAUGUAGGCAUGUCCUCCACAACAUUCUCUCUAAUUGAAAUUAAUCAUCAAAUUUAAAUUAAUCAUUAGGAGAACUUUAUUCUAGAUCUAAAAUAACAAAUUAUAGAUCAAUGUAAUUUUUAUUGUAAUAUCUAUAAAAACCAGAAAUAGAAAUAUAAAUAAAAAAAGUAUAAAAUAUAUCGAAAUAGAUAAAAAGAAAUAACAUAACAUAGUUAAUGCAAAAGACAGACUACAGCGAAGUAGAGUAAAAUAAAGAAGC